rnacentral:rRNA from 1 species
GACGAACGCUGGCGGCGUGCUUAACACAUGCAAGUCGAACGGACAGACGGAGAGCUUGCUCUCUUGAAGUUAGUGGCGAACGGGUGAGUAACGCGUAAUCAACCUGCCCUUCAGAGGGGGAUAACAACGGGAAACCGUUGCUAAUACCGCGUACGAUUCAUGAACGGCAUCGUUUAUGAAUGAAAGGUGGCCUCUAUGUAUAAGCUAUCGCUGAAGGAGGGGAUUGCGUCUGAUUAGCUAGUUGGAGGGGUAACGGCCCACCAAGGCAAUGACCAGUAGCCGGUCUGAGAGGAUGAACGGCCACAUUGGGACUGAGACACGGCCCAAACUCCUACGGGAGGCAGCAGUGGGGAAUCUUCCGCAAUGGACGAAAGUCUGACGGAGCAACGCCGCGUGGGUGAUGAAGGUCUUCGGAUUGUAAAGCUCUGUUAAUCGGGACGAAAGAGUUCUGCGUGAAUAAUGCAGAAAUGUGACGGUACCGGAAUAGAAAGCCACGGCUAACUACGUGCCAGCCGCCGCCGUAA